rnacentral:rRNA from 1 species
UACGGAGGGUGCAAGCGUUAUCCGGAUUUAUUGGGUUUAAAGGGUGCGUAGGCGGGACAGUAAGUCAGUGGUGAAAGUCUGCGGCUUAACCGUAGAAUUGCCAUUGAUACUGCUAUUCUUGAAUGUAGUUGAGGUAGGCGGAAUGUGUAAUGUAGCGGUGAAAUGCUUAGAUAUUACACAGAACACCGAUUGCGUAGGCAGCUUACUAAGCUAUUAUUGACGCUGAGGCACGAAAGCGUGGGGAUCGAACAGG